rnacentral:rRNA from 1 species
UACGUAGGGGGCGAGCGUUGUCCGGAAUGACUGGGCGUAAAAGGUACGUAGGCGGCUAGAUAAGUCAGAUGUGAAAGGCAUGGGCUCAACCUGUGUUAGCAUUUGAAACUGUUUAGCUUGAGUUAAGGAGAGGAAAGUGGAAUUCCUGGUGUAGCGGUGAAAUGCGUAGAUAUCAGGAGGAAUACCAGUGGCGAAGGCGACUUUCUGGACUUAUACUGACGCUGAGGUACGAAAGCGUGGGGAGCGAACAGGAUUAGAUACCCUGGUAGUCCACGCCGUAAACGAUGAGUGCUAGGUGUCGGGGGUCAAACCUCGGUGCCGGAGUUAACACAUUAAGCACUCCGCCUGGGGAGUACGUGCGCAAGCAUGAA